CAGCAGCCGCGGUAAUACAGAGGGUGCAAGCGUUAAUCGGAAUUACUGGGCGUAAAGCGUGCGUAGGCGGCUAAUUGAGUCGGAUGUGAAAUCCCCGAGCUUAACUUGGGAAUUGCAUUCGAUACUGGUUAGCUAGAGUGUGGGAGAGGAUGGUAGAAUUCCAGGUGUAGCGGUGAAAUGCGUAGAGAUCUGGAGGAAUACCGAUGGCGAAGGCAGCCAUCUGGCCUAACACUGACGCUGAGGUACGAAAGCAUGGGGAGCAAACAGGAUUAGAUACCCCCGUAGUCCCUGUCUCUUAUAC
rnacentral:rRNA from 1 species